rnacentral:misc_RNA from 1 species
CCUCAGUGCUGCUCUGCCACCGCCAUGAAACGUCUGUGGGUCGCGGCGCUGCUGCUGCUGUGCGUCUGCCAUGCGGGGGCUGUGCCUGCGCACCAAUCUGAGCCCCAGAGCGAAGACCCCCAGGAGACCCCCCCAGACACCACCACCCUCCUGAGCCGCCACUUCCAGACCCUGAGCGACUUCUUCACCAAAGAGCUGCCCCAGCGCCUGCGGGCGGACGAGAUACAGCAGCAGGCCAAGGCCUAUGCGGAGCGUGCAGAGGUGCAGCUGCGGCCUUUGGCUCAGGAGCUGCGCACCAACGUGCUGGGGCUGUUCUCCUCCUUCCUGGAUCUGGGGAAGACUGGGGGCAUGGAGAAGGACUGAGCCCCAUAGAAACGGG